CCUGGCUCAGGAUGAACGCUAGCUACAGGCUUAACACAUGCAAGUCGAGGGGAAACGACAUCGAAAGCUUGCUUUUGAUGGGCKUCGACCGGSSCMCGGGGUGAGUAACGCGUAUCCMACCUUGCCCAUCAYUUGGGGAUAMCCUUGCGAAAGUAAGACUAAUACCCAAUGAUAUCUYUAGAAGMCAUCUGAAGGAGAUUAAAGAUUUAUCGGUGAUGGAUGGGGAUGCGUCUGAUUAGCUUGUUGGCGGGGUAACGGCCCACCAAGGCUACGAUCAGUAGGGGUUYUGAGAGGAAGGUCCCCCACAUUGGAACUGAGACACGGUCCAAACUCCUACGGGAGGCAGCAGUGAGGAAUAUUGGUCAAUGGGCGAGAGCCUGAACCAGCCAAGUAGCGUGCAGGAUGACGGCCCUAUGGGUUGUAAACUGCUUUUAUAAGGGAAUAAAGUGAGUCUCGUGAGACUUUUUGCAUGUACCUUAUGAAUAAGGACCGGCUAAUUCCGUGCCAGCAGCCGCGGUAAUACGGAAGGUCCGGGCGUUAUCCGGAUUUAUUGGGUUUAAAGGGAGCGUAGGCCGGAGAUUAAGCGUGUUGUGAAAUGUAGAUGCUCAACGUSUGCACUGCAGCGCGAACUGGUUUCCUUGAGUACGCACAAAGUGGGCGGAAUUCGUGGUGUAGCGGUGAAAUGCUUARAUAUCACGAARAACUCCGAUUGCGAAGGCAGCUCACUGGAGCGCAACUGACGCUGAAGCUCGAAAGUGCGGGUAUCGAACAGGAUUAGAUACCCCUGGUAGUCCGCACGGGUAAACRAUGGGAUGCCCGCUGUUUGGUSUGAAAUAGGGUCAGCGGCCAAGCGAAAGCAUUAAGCAUCCCACCUGGGGAGUACGCCGGCAACGGUGAAACUCAAAGAAAUUGACGG
rnacentral:rRNA from 1 species